UUAGUCAAUGCUCGCAAGAGUGAACUAGCUAACUGAAUUCAUACUUGUGUCAAGUGUGAUAACGUAAGGGAAGAUAAUGACAUUACCUUACUAUUAGUGUUGUCCAAAACUGGUGCCAGAAGACUCGGUAAGGCCAGAGACGCGAACGUUAAUCGUCCUAAUCAGGCGUAAAGGGUGUGUAGGCAGCUUUAAAAUUUUUCUUUAUUACUUAAAUUCUUUUUAUAUUAUAUUUAAAAAUCUAAAUUUAUUUAAUGUAGACUAAUUAAGAAUAAAUUGAUAAUGAUAAAUUAUUUAAUUAUUAAAAAUUAAUUAAAGUAGAGAUAAAAUAAAUAAAAGCUAGAAUCAAAUAGAGGAUAUUUAAAUAAUACUUAGAGGAGGGGUGAUAUCCUUAGAUACUAAGUAGAAUAUUAAUGGUGAAAGCUUUUAUCUACUAAUGAUUGACGCUGAGAAACGAAGGUGAGGAUAGGAAAUAGGAUUAGAUACCCAGAUACCCCUCUCUGUCAACGAUGAAUGGUGGUUGCUAAUUAUAUAAAUUAAUUGGUGGCGAUGUUAACACGAUAACCAUUCCGCCAUGUGAGUACGACUGCAAAGUUGAAAACAAAAAAAUUAGUCGGUCUCGAAGCAAACGAAGUGAAGCAUGUUAUUUAAU
rnacentral:rRNA from 1 species